rnacentral:rRNA from 1 species
AUGUUUGCUGCGGUCUCCCUCUCUCGCGUCAACAAUCUUCGUGCUGCCCUCACCAAUGCCCAAAAGGGCACACAAUCUGCCUCAACAUACUUCGGCUAUAUGCGUUCCCUCUCUGACGAGCUCGCGACGGCGGGCAGACCUCUUGGAGAGCCGGAACUCAUCUCGUUCAUCGUCGCCGGCCUUGAUAUGGAUUACCAGCCACUUAUCUCCGCGCUUGAUGUCAGCACCGAGCCCAUCACGGUCGAUCUCCUUUUCUCUCUGGUGGCCAAUUUUGAUCAGCGGGUCGAACUAUACCACGGCAACAACGGAGGCUGGUUCAAAUCCUCAGCGAACUCUGCUUCCCGAGGCAGGCAGGGAGGCAGAGGUGGCUAUCGCAACCAGAAGAACGGCCCUGGCAACGGAUCCCGCGGAGGCCCUGGCAGCGGCGGCCAUUCUGGUGGCGGUGGUGGCCCUACUGGCUAUGAGGGCUAUGAAGGCAAGUGCCAAAUAUGUAAGAAAACAAACCACAUUGCUAAGGAUUGUGAUUGGCGCUACGCCGAUGACAACUCCCAGAAAAAGAAAAUUGCAGCUGCAGCAGAAGGAUCAUAUGGUGUCGAUACCAAUUGGUACGUGGACACGGGUGCAACAAACCACAUUACUGGAGAAUUGGAGAAGCUGACCAUGCAUGACAAAUAUCGUGGCCACGAUCAAAUCUACACCGCCGCUAAUGGUGCAGGUAUGGAGAUUAAUCGUAUUGAUCAAUCAUCAAAACUCCACAUAAAGAUCUUGUCCUAA